CACCGAAGUGAAGCAUCAUUGGGCGCGGUCAGUACUUGGGUGGGUGACCACCUGGGAACACUGCGUGCCGUU